rnacentral:rRNA from 1 species
AUUGAACGCUGGCGGCAGGCCUAACACAUGCAAGUCGAGCGGCAGCGGGAAAGUUGCUUGGUACUUUUGCCGGCGAGCGGCGGACGGGUGAGUAAUGUCUGGGAAACUGCCCAGUCGAGGGGGAUAACAGUUGGAAACGACUGCUAAUAUCGCAUACGCCCUACGGGGGCACGCAGGGGACCUUCGGGCCUUGCGCGGUUGGAUAUGCCAAGGGGGGAUUGGCGAGUUGGUGAGGUAAUGGCUCACCAAGGCGACGAUCCCUAGCUGGUCUGAGAGGAGGAUCAGCCACACUGGAACUAAGCCACGGUCCAGACUCCUACGGGAGGCAGCAGUGUGGAAUAUUGCACAAUGGGGGAAACCGUUAUGCAGCCAUGCCGCGUGUGUGAAGAAGGCCUUCUGGUUGUAAAGCACUUUCAGCGAGGAGGAAAGGUUGAUGCCUAAUACGUAUCAACUGUGACGUUACUCGCAGAAGAAGCACCGGCUAACUCCGUGCCAGCCGCCGCCGUAACAC